rnacentral:rRNA from 1 species
UACGUAGGAGGCGAGCGUUGUCCGGAAUCACUGGGUGUAAAGCGCGUGUAGGCGGCCUGCCAAGUCUGCUGUGAAAGCGCCUGGCUUAACCGGGCGAGGUCGGUGGAAACUGGCGGGCUGGAGGUCGGUAGAGGGGGGUGGAAUUCCCGGUGUAGUGGUGAAAUGCGUAGAGAUCGGGAGGAACACCAGUGGCGAAGGCGGCCCCCUGGGCCGUACCUGACGCUGAGGCUCGAAGGCUAGGGUAGCGAAAGGG